rnacentral:rRNA from 2 species
UAGCCAGCGGGUAAAGCCGGGAACUCUGAACAGACUGCCGUGGAUAACACGGAGGAAGGCGGGGAUGACGUCAAAUCAUCAUGCCCCUUAUGAUCUGGGCUACACACGUGCUACAAUGGGUAGUACAAAGAGGAGCGAAGCAGUGAUGUGGAGCAAAUCUCAAAAGCUACUCUCAGUUCGGAUUGAAGUCUGCAACUCGACUUCAUGAAGUUGGAAUCACUAGUAAUCGCAAAUCAGCAAUGUUGCGGUGAAUACGUUCUCGGGUCUUGUACACACCGCCCGUCACACCACGAGAGUUAGUUGCACCUGAAGUUACUGGCCUAACCGCAAGGAGGGAAGUACCUAAGGUGUGAUUAGUGAUUGGGGUGAAGUCGUAACAAGGUAUCCGUACCGGAAGGUGCGGAUGGAUCACCUCCUUUCUAAGGAGA